AUAGAAGUAAUUUAAGCAAAAUAUGGGGUUUCAAACCUUAAAAUACGUAUGAAGUGCGUCUUCUAUG
rnacentral:tRNA from 1 species